AAAUGUUCUGCUGGCUUUGCGUGGCGGAUUCGUUAGAUUUUUUUGUUGGGGAAUUUUUGUUUGGCACUGUAGAUGUUGAUGUGUUCGUCUGUGAGCGAGUUGAGUGUUGUUGCCAUCAUCACUGCUGCUUCCCUGUGCUUCAGUCCGCCUCUUCCAUUCCCAACAGAGCAAUGGUGUCGUGUUUGUUUGUUGUUAUUUUUAUAUACAUAUUUUUUUACAUUAUUAUUUUUAUUAUUGUUGUUGUUGUUGUCGUUUUUGUGAAUAUAAAUGCGGUCGCUACUUAAAUGUGUAUAUCUUUCUCUGUUGGCUGUUACUAUUGUUGCUUUUGCUGAGUUGGCUGUUGUUGUGGUUGUUGUUCCUGCCACUGCUGUUGUUGAUGAUGUUGUAUAGAUUUUCAGGGCAUUUACUAUUACCCCCACCUAGCCACACUGCUGUUCAAAACAAUAGUCACAGCAUUCCCAGACUCGCAUCCGAUGUGGAUGGGCGAGCGGUAGCCGCUCUAAUGCGGCGAUGACAAUAGGCCAACAGUGCUAGUUUUGCGCCACACGUUUCCCAACGCCAAAAGAGUAUUAACCUAUCCUCGGUAGCCCAUUGAAUUGAAGCUCGUAAAGCGAAGUUGCCAAAAAUUCUUUUCACAAAGCUCCAUCUUUUGUCUGUGCGCUUGGAUUUGAAUGUGAUGACAAAGAAAUGACCGAAUGGCUGCUGUUCGAUGAGGAAUGUAAAGUGAUGUCUAGAAGAUGAUCAUGGCGUUGCAAACGUGGCUGAAGGUUAUGGCACAUUUUAGAUAGAGAACCUGCAAAUUUCUACAGGGACUUUUCCUGCCAGCAGAAAUUUGGAACUUUGAGCAGAUGUUUUGUAGAGGUCAGCCGUUUUAUGAAAAGCAGACGUUACAUGAAAAUACAACGCCAACGCCAAAAUGGAUCAGAAAGGCAGUCAGAGAGAUUAAUGGCAGCAGCUAGUGUUCAGGUACAGAAAACUCGACAAAUGAAGUUGUAAUUUUGACUCAAGUCGGUUGUUUUACAUUAGAAGACACCAAGAAAAGAGCAAAUUAGUGUAAAUUAGUCUGGCAAUUGUGAACGGAUACAGAUAUCUUCAAUGACAACAAAUUGUCCGUAGCCGCCACAUGACCAAAUAGGAAACUUCGCUCGCCUUACAUCAGUGAUCGUAGCAAUUUAUCUAGCCACAUUAUCCAAAAGCAUUAGAUGGUUAGUCCAAGGUAACUUUGUCAGCACAAGUGUACUUUGGACGAAUGGAAAUAGUCCAACGGGAGGUUCGAAAGGAGUAGCCCCUCAUGCAUCUCGGCUAAUGAUGAAAGAAGACAGAUCGGUCUGUGCGAGUUCCCCUUGCUCGUGUCCUUUCCAAGUUUCGGUAGCGGGAUCACACUGCCCAUCUUCCAAACAUCGGGUACUCUAAUAGUUUUCAGAUAGGCUGAGGACAGUUGUAAGGUAAUCGAAUCCAGGUAGAUCCAGAUUCUUCAGCAUCAGUGUACAGAUUCUGUCUGGAACCAGCGCUUUGCACGACUUGGCGCCACGGAUGACAUUCGUAGCUUCGUGCACGGUUGUUGUUGUAGCAGUGUGUUGUAUACUAAAAGACUCCAUCGGGCCAAUGCGGUACGUACAACCGGCUGCCAUGGGAUUGCGCCGUAAUUGUGAUGUCCGUCCAGCGGCGAAUAUACGAAUGGGUCCCCUUCUAGCCUUUUCACUCUCGGGUCAAUAAAUUUAUCUAAGUAAAAAACACACAACAAGUAUCGGCAGCAUUUUUUUUAAAUUGUUUUCCAAGUAAGCAAAUAAAAAAACCAACCAAAA